AUUUAUGACAGCGCGGCAUGGCUUCAUUUCAUCCUGCUCUUUUAAUGUGCUGAAAGACACAUCGCUCCCCUCAGCAUCACAUCAGUGCAGAGACGUCGUCGCUUCUGAUGCAUGCAGCUCUUCCAAAAGUGACUAGAUAACAGCAGAAUUGUCCAGCAGACGGUGAAGUGUUGCUCGAGGCUGAGCGCCCCACACAACCUGCAUUUUACGGCUGGAGAAGAUGGAGACUUUCAUCGAAACUGACAAGCCGAGGUCCAGACGGAUGGCUUUUCUGGAGAUAUGUGACUCUGCGGAGUCCGACUCAGACGGGGAAUAGUUUGAACUAUUUAUGCGAGAGGCGCUCUCGACGGGAGUCGGACCAUGCAUGAAAUGUUCAGCAAUGUCAACAAUGCCAAAUGUAGGGCAGCCGAGAAUUCCCAGCGACAACAAAGGUCCAUCCUCCCAGUGCCAUCUGCCGCUACCAUAAAGAGGAGAGACGGGGCGAGCGAGACGGUGCGUGACAGACUGUUUUAUUUGACUUGGAGGGGCUAAUUUGGAUUAGGGAGGAUUUGUGUCCCCGCUGUGAAGCCCGGGCCUGUUUGCGAAGCGACUUGCGGAAAG